CGGGCAACCUUCACCUUACAUCUCCGACUCCAGCUAUAUGAGUGAAAUGGCCGCUGCUGCUGUUGAAUGUACCUGAAAUCUGUUACACACCACCUAUGUAGAGGAGAAUACAGUUAAGCUGUAGCUGAUUGAUCACAAGCUUUCCACUCUGCCAGCCAUCUAGACAAUGAGUACUAAGUGUCAAGUGAAAUCGAUCAUCAUCACACUUGAUGAACAUUUCCCAUGUUUCCACGAGGCCAAGUGCAUUGAAGUCUUAAGUGGUAACAAAACCCCAAUAGAAUGAACAGCAUAAGAGUGAUGUCAGUGUCUGAGCUGAAGCAACUGUAGACACACAUUCUAGUGAUAAAGAAAGGUGAUAUCCGUUAAAGAUCCAUUGAUGUUGAUGAAGUACUUUUGAUGGGUAUUGGUCUGUUGUUACAUUUGGACAGUAUGCCAUGAUGAGACAGUCAUCCACCUGCAGUCUGCCAUGAGAUGGUCGUCCACCUGCAGUCUGCCAUGAGAUUACCAUCCACCUGCAGUCUGCCAGAGAUGGUUAUUCACCUGCAGUAUGCCAUGAGAUGGCUAUCCACCUGCAGUCUUCCAUGAGAUGGCCAUCCACCUGCAGUCUGCCAUGAUAUGGUCAUGCACAUGCAGUCUGCCAUGAGAUGGACAUCCACCUGCAGUCUGCCAUGAGAUGGGCAUCCACCUGUAUUCUUAUCAGAUGGUCAGCCACCUGUACUCUGCCAUAAGAUGCUCAUCCACCUGCAGCCUUGUAUGAGAUGGUCAUCAACCUGCAGACUGCCAUGAUAUGGUCAUGCUAGCUCUUUGAAAAUUAGCUAUUGACUCAUAUCAGUGUACAAGUUACAUAAAACCUGUUGGCAUGUUUAGACAUUCACUGGUCUUUAAAACUCAUUCAUACAUUUGUAUGGCAAUAAGACGGCUGUAUGGUACAGACUGACCUGGUCCAUGGCCUUAGAUGCAUCAGAGACUUUUUUUGGAGACCUUGAUGAUUCCUUAGGCUUGUAUUAAUUCGAUUUUGCUAUACAUUCUUUAUGUUUUUAAAUCAUUGAUUGAAAUUUUAAGAAGUUUGAUACAAGAAGCCUGUAAGAUGGUGCAGUUUAUUUUGAAGUGAUAUGGUCAUUGAUUUUUCAUUGGGAAGAUACAAAAGUAUGGGAGUAAACUGUCACUGGUUAAGAUGCUUUCAUGUAUAAUUUUCAUAUGUAACAGCUUUCUUAAGUACAACUGUUUGGAAUAAGAAAUCUGUGCUGGUCAACAAGUUAGUAUUGUCUUGAAUUAAAUGUAUAUUUAAAUAGGGUUUUUUUCUAGUCAAAUUUUGCCAUGGAUCAAAUAAGGCUACUACUUAUAUCCCCUCAUAUGCUGUUCAACUGUGAAGAAAUCAUAAACUUGUAAUAUGGAUACAGAUACAAAUACAAUUCUUAUUUUUGCAUUCAAAACAAAUUAUUACAAAACAUUUUUUGACGAAAUUAACCAAUUAUGUUGAUCAAGUUCAUUAAGAUAGCAAUGGACAUAAUUCCCGUAAGAAAUUAAACAAUAAUUACUAAGUAUAAAACUCCAAUAUCAUCUUUAUUUUUGUCUUGUUUUUAUCUGACUAUUUCCAGAAUUUUUUAUUUGUUGUAUCAUGAACUUUUCAUAUUUACAUUGGCAUCAUUUUAAAAGUUGUUUAAUGGGUACAGCAUUUUACAUAUGAACCCAUGAAAUGUUGUAUUGAUAAUGUAUUAGACAGUAUAUAAGUUAUACAAUAAUAAAAUAUGAUAUUAAGCAAUAUUUGAGUAGUUAAAUUUAUACCAUAGUGCCACCAUGUUUUCAUACAGAUUUUUAUACUAGAUUGUAAAAAAAUCACAUUCUUCAAAUAAUGUCAUUGAUAAUGAUCUUUUUCAA